AUGGAUUAUCAGCCUCUCAUCUCUGCUCUCGAUGUUCGAAACAAUCCUGUCUCCGUUGACGAUCUGUUUGGUAUGGUGGCCAACUUCGAUCAGCGAGUGGAGAUGUUCCAGGGCACCGGUGCAGGCGCCUUCAAGUCCUCUGCAAACGCUGCCACUCGAGGGCAUGGCGGCUUCUCCAAGGGCUCCCGCUACCCCCCAAGAAUGGUGGCGGUGGAUCUCGUGGUGGCAGCAAUCAGGGUGGCGGCGGCGGCUACCACAAUGGUGGUGGCGGCGCCAGCCAAUACAACAACAGCGGUGGUGGUGGUGGUGGCGGCCACUACCAGAACUCCGGCGGCGGCGGUGGCCACUACCACCACUCCGGUGGUGGCAACAAUCCUCGGCAGCGCCCCUUCUCCAACAACAACAGGGGGCGCGUUUUUCAGGGGUAUGAUGGUUAUGAAAAUAAAUGUCAGAUUUGUAAAAAGAAUAACCACAUUGCUAAGGAUUGUGACUGGCGCAAUGCCGACGACAACUCCCAACACAAGAAAGUUGCAGCUGCUGUGGACAACUUGA
rnacentral:rRNA from 1 species